GUCCGAUGCUAAAGACUGGGGCUCAACCCCAGGGGUGCGUUGGAUACUGUGAGGCUAGACGGUCGGAGGGGGUAGCGGAAUUUCCGGAGUAGCGGUGAAAUGCGCAGAUACCGGAAGGAACGCCAAUAGCGAAGGCAGCUACCUGGACGACUUGUGACGCUGAGGCGCGAAAGCGUGGGGAGCAAACCGGAUUAGAUACCCGGGUAGUCCACGCCCUAAACCAUGAGUGCUGGGUGUCCGGCUUCUGCUGGGUGCCGUAGCUAACGCGCUAAGCACUCCGCCUGGGAAGUACGCACGCAAGUGUGAAACUCAAAGGAAUUGACGGGGGCCCGCACAAGCGGUGGAGCAUGUGGUUUAAUUCGAAGCGACGCGAAGAACCUUACCAGGCCUUGACAUGCCCGGAACCCCUCUGAAAGGAGGGGGUGCCCGCAAGGGAGCCGGGACACAGGUGCUGCAUGGCCGUCGUCAGCUCGUGUCGUGAGAUGUUGGGUUAAGUCCCGCAACGAGCGCAACCCCUAUCCCUAGUUGCCAGCAGUUCGGCUGGGCACUCUAUGGAGACUGCCUGCGAAAGCAGGAGGAAGGCGGGGAUGACGUCUGGUCCGCAUGGCCCUUACGGCCUGGGCGACACACGUGCUACAAUGCCAAGGACAGAGCGCUGCUACCUCGCGAGAGGACGCCAAUCGCAAAAACCUUGGCUCAGUUCGGAUU
rnacentral:rRNA from 1 species